rnacentral:rRNA from 1 species
AGUGAACGCUGGCGGUAGGCCUAACACAUGCAAGUCGAACGGCAGCACAGUAAGAGCUUGCUCUUACGGGUGGCGAGUGGCGGACGGGUGAGGAAUGCAUCGGAAUCUACUUUUUCGUGGGGGAUAACGUAGGGAAACUUACGCUAAUACCGCAUACGACCUACGGGUGAAAGCAGGGGGUCUUCGGACCUUGCGCGAUUGAAUGAGCCGAUGUCGGAUUAGCUAGUUGGCGGGGUAAAGGCCCACCAAGGCGACGAUCCGUAGCUGGUCUGAGAGGAUGAUCAGCCACACUGGAACUGAGACACGGUCCAGACUCCUACGGGAGGCAGCAGUGGGGAAUAUUGGACAAUGGGCGCAAGCCUGAUCCAGCCAUACCGCGUGGGUGAAGAAGGCCUUCGGGUUGUAAAGCCCUUUUGUUGGGAAAGAAAAGCAGCAGGUUAAUACCCCGCUGUUCUGACGGUACCCAAAGAAUAAGCACCGGCUAACUUCGUG